ensembl:lncRNA
AGUGAAAUGAGCUGCAGUGAUGUCAAGUUGGAUGAGAACCUAUAAAUGAUGGGUCACACUGCAACACAGCAGGAUCGUGACUGUACACGAAACACCCAUCGAAAGCAUGUCUGCUACACACAAACAAGCUCAUCUAAAUUUUCUUAUUUAGAGGCAGUUAUUACAGGCAGCUGAAGAUGAGGGGUUGUUUCUCUAAAGAAAGUGCAAAAAUGGGCAUUGGCUUUGGUAAGGGAAGUGCCUGCUCUGUGAGAUUUUGGUUAAAUCCUAAAAAGAUUUACGGCCUCAUAAGUGAAGCCGUGUCAACACUGGAAGCAAUGCACAGCAAUGUGGUGACCAAAUGCGCAUAAAAAGUUAAUGACGUUUAGAGACAUUCAAGUGGUUAGAGGUAAAAAAAAGAAAGAAAAAAAGCUGGUCCAAUUGGCAAUUACUUAGAUAAACUUUUCAUUACUACAAGAACAGGUAGUAGAUACAUUAGAGUUACAAAUAGUGAGGACGUGGUCAGCUCUAAAUCAGUGAUAAGUAUCUAGCACUGCUCACACUCCAUAAAAAAUAAAAGAAAAUAAUUUAAGAAAGCCAGAAGUCAGACGUUUUACCGAGUAAUCUUAUCAAGGACACCCAUAUUCAUUUCACGUUCAGCAGCUUUCUCCAUGACCAGUUCUCUGGUAGUUUAGUUUUCUUGCACAAAAUCCUCUAAAACCCUUCUUUUCAAUAACCAAAUAGAAUAAACAUGUAUACAGUAGCUUUAACAAGGCUAUAAGGUGUGUUUAGGUUUUUGAUUAUUUUAUUAGCACAUAUAAUAUGUGUUCUACUGCCAAAGAGCCAUUCAGUCAACAAACAUGGAUAAUUUCAUUAUUUUCAUUAUAAUUUUCAUUAUUUUUCCAAAUAUGCAGAGAAAACUGGUACUGUCCACAAAGCAUGUCAGAUAUCAAGACAUUUGAACUAUGCAAGUUCAAAUUUCUGCAUUGGUCAUUAGCAUCACAUAAAAAUGUACAACAAAAAUAAUUGACACACUUAGUCAAGUGAUAGGCAAUUU